AAUCAAAGAACAAGAUUAAAACUGCUAAUCGGAUAUUGGAACUUGGCAUAUCUAGGUAGUGAGCCUCAUCUUAUGAAAACUAAUUGUUCACUGUUUCAUAGUCACGCCGGUUGAAUGGUUCACUACCAUACUACCAUCCUAAAAAUCAUUCAUGAUUAUUUGACUAAAUAGUUGCUGCUAUAAGUAAUUUGUAACAUGUGUGCUGAUUUUUUGUGAGAGGAUUAUUACUUAUAUUUAUAUUGGUUUGAUUGUGCAUACUGUCUGUCCUUAUGAUUUAAUAUUACACGUACAAAAUUUGAAAGGUGGAAAGUGAGAUUGUGGCAGCAUUCUUGAGAGGAAAAGAAUGCCAUUUGUUAGAUUUGGACCUUAAUGCCGUACUUGGAUUCAUUGAUGAUUUCUGCAUAUGGGUGAUACUUUAUUUGAAAGACAGAGUUCUCAAUUUGCUCUAGCGGUCUCAGAUAUAGUUCUUAUAAACAUGUAAGUUUCCUUUUCAAAAGUUUUCCUGUAUAGAAAGAAAUUAAGCUUCUUUCCUUUUCGUAUUUCUUUCACUUUAUUAGAACUGUCAAUAGAACUGAAUGUUAUGUUAAGGUGAUUUCAUUCUAUUUGGAUUCAAUUCAUACACGUUGAAUCUUACUUUGCUAUUGGAUUGUAUAAAGAGCUAAAACAUGUAGCAUAAAGGAUUUGCAAAUGAAAUAACAACUUAUUCCUUAUUGUUUUCCUACACAGGUGGAAGAAGAAGACAAAGAAAUAGAUAGCUUUCUCAAAAUACAUUGUAUCUUUCUCAAAAUAUGUCUUAACAACAACUUAUUCUUUAUUGUUAUCCUACAACUGUAUGUUUUAACAACAUGUAUCUUUCUCAAAAUAUGUUGUUAAUACCAAAUGUGUCUUGCACUCUUGUUUCAGGGUGA